rnacentral:tRNA from 1 species
GCGGGCAUAGCUCAGUUGGUAGAGCGCUACCUUGCCAAGGUCGAGGUCACGAGUUCGAAUCUCGUUGCCCGCUCCA